AACCCACAACGAGGUUUAUUUCUUCUUGUGAACGUUCUUUAGGCUUUAUUCUUGUGCCCCGGUGCCAUCUUCUGCCCUGUCAGUCAGCGCGUGCCCACUAAGACACCUGCGUCUGUUUGCACACUUAGCGCACCAGACGGUGCACUCAAGUGCUUGGUAGAUGCUGCUUGUCUGGCUUGCCCUCGUGCCCCUCAGGGAGAAACCCCCUCCCACAUCUCCCCCCUGCCAGCGAGGCUGUUCCCCAGGCCACCUGAGGGCUGGUCUAUCAGAACAUCCUCCUUCCUUUGUCCUCCGAGGAGAGAUUAGCAGAAGGCUCAGAGCAGCUAGCCAGGCCCAGAGCUCCCCAGCUGCUCUGAUCAAACACCACUCCUGCCACUCUCCUCGCACUGGUUCCCCCAGUGUAGGCCAGAAACAGCUGAUCAAACACAUCAGGACAAGGUCAGUCCAGGGACCCAUAGCCCCCUCCAGGGAAGAUUUCACAGACCUGCCGUCAGGAGGGUCUGAUAAAAAUGGGCAGGGGGUGGGAAGAGGGCCCACGGGGCUGGCGCACGACCGAACAGCUUUUCAUUCCUUUUAAGGUCGGAACCUCUGUGCUCGACACAGGGUCCAGACCGAAGCCAGCGCUUGCAGAGAGGCCGGGGCUGGAGCUGCCUGUGAGCCCAGGGAGCGGAGGUGAGGAAACCAACACCAGAGAAGUCACUUAAUGAGUGACAGAGCUGGUGAGCAGGGGUUCGAACACAGGCACUCUGACUCCAGAGCUUUUUCUUACGUGGACGCUGUAUCCAAGCAUUUCUCGCCUGGGACGCCUGGCUGGCUCCGUCGGCAGAGCAUGUGACUCUUGACCCUCAGCGUUUCCAGGCUCACUCCAGUCCCUGGAGCGUGGAAGGACAGUCACCUGACCAGCCUGAGCCCCGCAGAAGCAGCAGAGGCCUACACAGCCUGGCACAGAGCUUCAUCCCUCAACUCGAGAUAUUGCUUUGGAUGACAUCUGACAUGGUGGAAAGAAUUCUAGACCAUGUACCCAAACAGGACUGGAGUCCUGGUCCCAGCUGUGCCCCUGAUGUGCUGAGGGCUGAGCACCGCCCGGCUGUCGUCCGCUCAUCCUCCCAGCGAUCCUUUGAGCGAGGACACUCCUUCAGUGGUGACAGUGGCAUCGUCGCUUCUCUGGCCUCCAUCCUUGGGGAGGGCCCGGACCCCAGGUAGAGACCCUGCGACUG